CCUCGGGAAACUGAGAGUAAUACCGUAUACGCCCUUCGGGGGAAAGAUUUAUCGGUUAAGGAUUGGCCCGCGUUAGAUUAGUUAGUUGGUGGGGUAACGGCCGACCAAGACGACGAUCUAUAGCUGGUUUGAGAGGAUGAUCAGCAACACUGGGACUGAGACACGGCCCAGACUCCUACGGGAGGCAGCAGUGGGGAAUCUUAGACAAUGGGCGCAAGCCUGAUCUAGCGAUGCCGCGUGAGUGAAGAAGGCCUUAGGGUCGUAAAGCUCUUUCGCCUGUGAUGAUAAUGACAGUAGCAGGUAAAGAAACCCCGGCUAACUCCGUGCCAGCAGCCGCGGUAAUACGGAGGGGGUUAGCGUUGUUCGGAAUUACUGGGCGUAAAGCGUACGUAGGCGGAUUAGUAAGUGAGGGGUGAAAUCCCAGGGCUCAACCCUGGAACUGCCUCUCAUACUGCUAGUCUUGAGAUCGAGAGAGGUGAGUGGAAUUCCGAGUG
rnacentral:rRNA from 1 species